CAGUCGCCGCGGUAAUACGUAGGGUGCAAGCGUUAAUCGGAAUUACUGGGCGUAAAGCGUGCGCAGGCGGUUUGUUAAGACAGAUGUGAAAUCCCCGGGCUCAACCUGGGAACUGCAUUUGUGACUGGCAAGCUAGAGUGUGGCAGAGGGGGGUGGAAUUCCGCGUGUAGCAGUGAAAUGCGUAGAUAUGCGGAGGAACACCGAUGGCGAAGGCAGCCCCCUGGGCCAACACUGACGCUCAUGCACGAAAGCGUGGGGAGCAAACAGGAUUAGAUACCCGAGUAGUCCCUGUCUCUUAUAC
rnacentral:rRNA from 1 species